GCAGUUUUUUGUUAUUCAAAAGUAGUUUUUGGAGGUUACAAGACCUCCUGUUGUCAUUAGCGCUCAUAAACAUGUCAAUCUGGGGCCAAGUAUGCGAUCCAAUUUUCGUUUUGUGUCAUAGCCCCAGCUUGGGUUUCACUAUUUUUUUAUAGUCAGACUUUGCUGCAUUUGUUGCAGGCAUUUAUACUGUCAAUUUUUGGCCUAGGCAUUGGCAUGUGCAUGAAGACAAUUUUAUGAGCAGUAUACAUAUCAAUGACAUCCCCAUGUCCAUAGGCAGGAAACCAUGACUAUCUGUUGAUCAACGAGCUAGUCAACUAGAGGCUCACUAGGGACACAUUGUGGUCUAUGUAUUCACACAUGUAUUACGAUUUCCGGAUAAAACAAUUACAGCAUGAAUAAUAGACAAUUAUCAUGAACAAGGAAAUAUAAUAAUCAUUUUAUUAUUGCCUCUAGGGCAUAUUUCCAACAAUCUCUCAUGAGCGUGCUCUCUCUCUCUCGGGCGCGCACACAGUCCAAAUCUCGCAGGCAUAGUUGCGGCCGACCUUAUUAGGCUUUUUUCCUGUGGCUGCGCAUGUUCACACCUACACAGAAAAGUGGCUGACAGAAUAUAAAUUUCAGUCGAUUGACACCUAGUCGGUCCCGGCUCGCCUCGCUGCUAAUGUCGCUGACUGAAUCAUCAGCCAUCUUGGCGAUGUCUUUCAGCAGGUAGCCGACGAACCCGUUCAGCAGCUCCUGUGCAAUGCCAAUGCGCAGGACGGUGACCUGACGGGGCUCCCUCCUGACUUCCGGAUGGUGGUAUGACCAAAGCCUCGGUUGCCUAUCCCGACGGCCACCAUGCUGUGACUCCUCCCCGGCGCUAGGCGAAGCAACAUCUUCUGGCUGCCGACGGCUGCCAGCACAGUAUCUUCUCCCGUGUCACGACUGCCGAUGGCAGUGGCAGCCAACUUCUCCACACGCCAUGGCGGCGGCCGGAAGCGACGAGGUCUCUUCCUCCUGCGCGGGCCAGUCAUGUAUACAGUCACCUGCCCAGUCAGCACGGUAAAAGACAACAACACCACAAAUCAUCUCCAGAACCAUUUGGGUGGACAUUUUUCCGGUUUGCCACAUUUUAGGGGCUUAAAAAUAUGUUUUGAAGUUAGGGGUAUUUUUUUCGAAAGUACGCAAAUUGCAUACCAUAGCUUUAUAGAAGAAGAUAAUUGCAAGUACAAGACAGCUACCACUCGCCGCGAACAAUGACCGUAGCACCCACUCCACAACCGGCUAGUCCAAAGACAACCAACAACGACAACACAACUACAACGCAAAAGACCCUACCCUAAUCCGUAAACCUCGCCGCGUCUCAACCAACGACACCAUCCGCCGAAGAACGUUUGCGUCUCUACUGUGUUAAAAAAGAUAAAUAAAUAAAUAGAGAAAUCCCAAUGUACAUUUUUUCCCGUGCACAGCCAAGGAGCUAAAUAAAACCCGAAACUCGUCUAAAAAAGAAUAAAACCCUAGACUACUCACGGCGCAGUAGGGUACUAUCUAUGACCUCCGCCGCCUUGUCCUCCGGCCCGAAUAAGGCCUUUCCUAACUGGCUGCGUGCGCAACCAAUAUCGGAGCCGUCGCUGCACCCUGGGGAUCGGCGCUAGCGUGUCCCACAUGGCCCACACGGAUUUGGCUAUUUCAUUUUUCCGAGCGCCAUAUGAAGCGAAUACACGUCAGAUCGUAUCUGGCGUCCUACCUACGCUAGCGCAUAGCUUGUACUCACCUACCUCCCCGUCAACUACACCGUGACCAGGCUACCCCAUCCACCCAAGCCAGAGGCAAUUCAAAAUUCGAAUCCCAGUCGCAGCUGCAUUGACCGGCGAAACCACGCCCUCCUCAUCGCCGCGCUUGGAUCUCGAUAUUUCUUCACAAAUCAUCAAUGAAUCUCGGUGGGGAGUCAUUCACGGAUCUCUUGUUCAGGUUUCUCCUCUUUUUCUUUCCUUGUUUUCUACCGCAAAUCGCCAAAUCUUCAUCUUGCCAUGCCGAUGAACAGCUUCUGUUCCCAGCCGGUCACAACCGUGGGCAUCCUAGAUCUGGCAUUGCCAGAGGGAGGGGAGGUGCGGUGAUGGAGGGAAAGAUGGUGAUAGCGAUUCUCCUUCCUCAAGUUCUGCAUCUCAAGUUCAAGAGGCAACGGAAGAUUUUUUUCAAUGUCCCAGACAUUGACCAAACCGACAGUCACAGAGAGCAUCCAUCUGAAUCGCAACGCACUCCAACUAUGUGGCCUCAAAGGUGCGAGCUUAAUUGACCCCCACCCCUCCUUCCAGCGCCCCCCUCUUACAAUACAACUUUCAGUCAACUAGUACUCUCUUUUUCAGUAAAGUUGUUGGCUUGAUAAUGAUUUGAGGAUUCGAAUCAGCCCGAGCUUGGUAGAAUGGUCAACAACGGGUUCAGUUCUAGUUUUGGGAUAUCAUGUUCAGUUGAUUGCUGUCAACAAUUCGUUUAUUUUGGAGCAGUUUUUUGUUAUUCAAAAGUAGUUUUUGGAGGUUACAAGACCUCCUGUUGUCAUUAGCGCUCAUAAACAUGUCAAUCAGGGGCCAAGUAUGCGAUCCAAUUUUCGUUUUGUGUCAUAGCCCCAGCUUGGGUUUCACUAUUUUUUUAUAGUCAGACUUUGCUGCAUUUGUUGCAGGCAUUUAUACUGUCAAUUUUUGGCCUAGGCAUUGGCAUGUGCAUGAAGACAAUUUUAUGAGCAGUAUACAUAUCGAUGCCACACGGUUAAUUAUUCUGGAGCAAUUGGUUGUUGCAUAUAUAUAUGCAUACAGUAUCAAUUAGGUCAAUUGGUUGUUGCAUAUAUCAAUGCAUACAGUAUCCAUUAGGUCAAUCUAUUUUUUCUGAAUCAAAGUCAGAGUGAUGAGCACAUUUUGACUAUAUUUGACAUUUUUAUCUCCAUUCCAAUUGCGGUUAACAUCUCAAAUAUAUGUAG
rnacentral:lncRNA from 1 species